rnacentral:rRNA from 1 species
AUACGUAGGGGGCGAGCGUUGUCCGGAAUCACUGGGCGUAAAGCGCACGUAGGCGGGCUGUUAAGUCGGCCGUGAAAUACACUGGCUCCACCGGUGCAGGUCGGUCGAUACUGGCGGUCUGGGGUGUUGGAGGAGGAAACGGGAAUUCCGGGGUAGCGGUGGGAUGCGUAGAUAUCGGGAGGAACACCAGUGGCGAAGGCGGGUUCCUGGCCCAUGACUGACGCUGAGGUGCGAAAGCCGGGGGAGCGAACGGGAUUAGAUACCCCGGUAGUCCCGGCUGUAAACGAUGGAUGCUAGGUGUGGGGGGUUAUCCCUCUGUGCCGCAGCUAACGCGAUAAGCAUCCCGCCUGGGGAGUACGAUCGCAAGAUUGAAACUCAAAUGAAUUGACGGGG